ensembl:lncRNA
UCUGAUCUCAUUGGUCUGGGGAGCAACCUGGGCAUCAGGAUUUUUAAACGAGUAGCAGAGUCUGUGGCCGGGACAGGGUGUGGGGAGGAGGGGCAGGCAGCUCUGGAGGUCUGACAGGAGGAAGUGGCAAUGACAUAGCCUCAGGCAGCCUGAGCUUCCAGGGCAGGAAGCCCAGGGCCCAGGGCACCAGGCUGGCCCAAAGUGGCACUUGGGAAAGAUUGGCUGCAGGCCUGUGGGAGGAAAGGGUGGGCGGGACAGAAGGACGGGACGAGAAGAGAGGCAAAAGCCCAGACGGUGCCGUGGGUUUGAGUCCAUUGUCUGUCGCUAGCUUUCUCUGUGACCUGGGACACAUCGCUUCCCCUCUCUGGGCCUCAGUUUCUCCAUCUGGAAAAGGAGAGGAUUGAAUUUGAUGAUGGCUAAAGAUCCUUCCGGCUCCAGGGUUGGAGGACACCCCAGGCUGGACCUCCUAGUGUGAGAUAAGCCCGCAUGGAGUUUCCGAUCUGCAGAUCUGCAAACAGACCCUGCACUCCAGUCUGGGCAGGGGGCAGGCACAGAGGUUCACGAGCACCCCUCGCCCCUCCCUGGCUCCCCGGCCACUCCAUCAUGCUGCCAGACACGGGUCAUGGAAAUUUCCUCUUAGGCCCUCUAGUCCAGCCCAGGGAAUGUGGUUAUCCUUCCAACUUCAAGUGGAAAUUUCCGCUCUCCCCCUGACAACUAGUGGGAGACACAGUGGAGCUGCAGACAGAGAUCGUGGCAUUGGGGUGGAGGGUGACUCCUGGUUACAGGCCACACAGGGUUCAUCAGGGGGCCAGGCGUCCUCCUUCAAGAAGUAUUUAUGGGGCACCUCACCUACUGUGUGCUGGGCCCUAUUCCAGGUGCCAGGGACACAGGACAGAACAGGACAGGCUCAGUCUCCGGCCUCCGGAAGCAUCUCUCCUAAAGGGGGGAAGAGAACACACAUGAGUACUGCAGAUAAACUGAGGCGUCAUAAGGAAAAGGGCAUGAUGCUGGGGCAGGCAGGUGGGUUUUAGAGAGGGUGAUCAGGGAAGGCCUUGCUGCGGGCGAGGUGACGUUUGUGUGCUUGUCAGGGGGAACAGCAAGUACAAAAGUCCUGAAGCAGGGCCAUGGCUGUCAUGUUGAGGACGCAGUGGGCAGAGGAGAAGGUGAUGAGAUCAGAGAGUUUCCUGCAGCGCCUUCCCAGGGUAAGGACUUUGGAUUUUAGGCUUAGUGCCGUGGGGAGUCCACAGGACAUUUCUGAGCAGAGAGGGGAGAGGAUCUAACUACAUUUUAUUUAUUUAUUUACUUACUUAUUUUACAACCCGAGGAUGGUGUUCAUUUCAGUAUUGGGCAGAUUUCUUCUCAAAAGCUGCUCCAGUUUCAGGAGGCCAGCGUAAGCGUAUAUAUUUUGCCAGGGUAAAGUUAUACUUGUGAAUGAACUCAUGCAACAGACAUUCUGCAGUUGCAUCAUUGGAGGCAUUUGUAGCGGACAGUCAGAGGGCCUGACCCGUCCCCCUGCUGCUUGCUGAUCCACAUCUGCUGGAAGGCGGAGAGAGCAGCCUGCAAGGAAGCCACCGCUCCGGAUUUUUAGUGCCUAAGGAGAAACUGUCUUCAUUGGCCGUGAUUUCUCCCUGCGUUCUGUUGGCCCCCCUGCAAUGCUGUGUGGGCACACAGAUCCUUUCAGAGGUCAAUCGCACACUUCAGAACCGAGUUAAAAGUGGUUUCAUGAAUGUCACAGGACGCCAAGCCCAGGAACGAGGGCUGGAGGAGACGCUCUGGACAUCUGGACCUCUCAUGGCCAAGGACAACCUCCUGACCAUCAGAAGCUCACAGCCCUUCUCCGGGGAGGAAGCGGAGGACACAGCGGGGGCCAUCUCCUGCUCCAGGUCCAGGGUGAUGCAGCAGAGCUUUCCCUCCGCGUCACACACCAGUCCCUCUCAGCUGUGGUAGCGAGGCUGUAACCUCUUUCCGUCAGGCUCUCCUCCAGGAGGUCAUCUCCCAAGUCACGCUCAUUGCAGAUGGGUAACAGUCUGUGGAUUGGCCGUGGUCUGAGGACACCUCUUUGAUAGCAUCGAUUCAGGCUGUUGAGAGGUGGAUGCUGGCGUUGCAGAACCUCUCAGAUUGCCAGAAGGAACAAGGCUCCUGCAUCCCUGUUCCCCUAAGCAGAUGAUUAGCCCUGAGCUAACUGCUGCCAAUCCUCCUAUUUUUUGCUGAAGAAGACUGACCCUGCCUGAGCUAACAUCUGUGCCCAUCUUCCUCUACUUUCUAUGUGGGACGCCUGCCCAGCAUGGCUUGCCAAGCGGUGCCAUGUCCACAUCCGGGAUCUGGGCUGGCGAACCCCGGGCCGCCAGGAAGUAGAAUGUGCGCACUUAACCGCUGCACCACCGGGCUGGCCCCUUGACAUUUUGAAAAAGUGCCAUGUGACUCUGAUGCCCAGCUGCUGUCUGACCCAUAAGAGGUGUCUGGUGACUGUGCUCAUAGAAGUGCAGCACAUCUGUGGAGGGACACACAGGGAUCUGUGGCCUGCGGGGAGGGGAGCUGGGGGACACCAGAGGAAGAUGAGUCACUUUUUGUUAUACAUCUUUUUGUACUGAUUGGACUUUUAACCUAAAAAAAAUGUUUGACCAACUGAUGUUGUUGCUGUCAUCUAUGUGAGGGACCGCCAACUCUAGGCCUGCGGCUGGGGCCUGCAGUCCGGUGAAGGACAGGAGCAGGCCAGAGGAACGGAGAGCUGCAGAGCGCGUGUCCCACCUCAAGGGGGCAGCAGCCGCCCAGAGCCUGCUGACUGUGUCUGGGUGGGACUGAGCGCAGCGCUGCCAGAUCUUCCUACUUUUUCCAGAUAAGCCUGAAACCACAUUUUCAAGUAGAAUUAAUUGUCAACUAAUUCGAAAAUGUAGAACACAGCAUGGGCCGAACACAACACGUCUGCGAACCAAUUCUGGCUGCGGGCCACCAGUCCGUGCUGGCGGGUCUAGCAGGACGCUGUCAAGGACUGGGCACCUUGGAGGCCAAUCUGCAAAGCCAGGGCAGACCCAUCCUUCGCUUCUAGGAAAUCGAGUUCACUUCCCAUGGGGGUCCACACAGGACGAGGACAAAGCAGGUGCCCCAAGGCCCACAGGGGUCACCCGCCCACUCAAAAUGAUCUAAUUCCACACAUAUUUAUUAACCUCCCCUCGUGUGCCAGGCUGAGUGCUGGAGGUGGUGAAUGUGGUGAAUGUGACAGUCACAGUCCCUGGUCUCUAGGUGGGGAGACACACUUGAAAGAUAGUUGCAUAAUAAUUACAUUUGCGACAUGAGGAGCUGCAGUAUAGCAUGGGGAUCCUAAGUUUGAGUUUGAUUCCUGAUUUCACCACUUGCUAAUUAUGUCACUUUGGG